CUAUUACUCCCUCCGUCCAAAAAUACUUGUCAUCAAAAUGGAUAAAAAGAGAUGUAUUUAGAACUAAAAUACAUCUAGAUACAUCCCUUUUUAUUCAUUUUGAUGACAAGUAUUUUCGGACGGAGGGAGUAUAUU
rnacentral:pre_miRNA from 1 species